UUUUGUGAUGAAUUUGUGGGUGUUUACGUCUUAUAUUGACUUUUAUUUUGGUCUCUUUCACUCAAGAGUUGAUUGAUUUGAGCUUUUGUGCUAAUUUUGUUGUCUCAGGAUUUUAUGCUCAAAUUGAUUGAUAUGUGGAAAAAAAUAAAGUCAGAAUUUAGUUGAAUGGUCUGAAGAAGAAUCGAAGUUCGUUUCGAUACGAGUUCGUAGGCGAAAAUGGUCUAAAAUCCGACUUGAAAUGAGGGAGAACGGACCAAAACAAAAACG
rnacentral:lncRNA from 1 species